AUUGAACGCUGGCGGCAUGCCUUACACAUGCAAGUCGAACGGCAGCGGGGACUUCGGUCCGCCGGCGAGUGGCGAACGGGUGAGUAAUGUAUCGGAACGUACCUUUCAGUGGGGGAUAACGUAGCGAAAGUUACGCUAAUACCGCAUAUUCUCUGAGGAGGAAAGCAGGGGACCUUCGGGCCUUGCGCUGAUGGAGCGGCCGAUAUCAGAUUAGCUAGUUGGUGGGGUAAAGGCUCACCAAGGCUACGAUCUGUAGCGGGUCUGAGAGGAUGAUCCGCCACACUGGGACUGGGACACGGCCCAGACUCCUACGGGAGGCAGCAGUGGGGAAUUUUGGACAAUGGGCGAAAGCCUGAUCCAGCCAUGCCGCGUGAGUGAAGAAGGCCUUCGGGUUGUAAAGCUCUUUCGGACGGGAAGAAAUCAUGAGGGCUAAUAUCCCUUGUGGAUGACGGUACCGUAAUAAGAAGCACCGGCUAACUACGUGCCAGCCGCCGCGGUAG
rnacentral:rRNA from 1 species